AACGCGAAGAACCUUACCUGGGCUCGAAAUGCUAAGGACCAGCUUAUGAAAGUUUGCCUUCCCGCAAGGGACCUUAGUAUAGGUGCUGCAUGGCUGUCGUCAGCUCGUGUCGUGAGAUGUUGGGUUAAGUCCCGCAACGAGCGCAACCCUUAUCUUCAGUUGCUACCAUUUAGUUGAGCACUCUGACGAAACCGCCUCGGAUAACGGGGAGGAAGGUGGGGAUGACGUCAAGUCCUCAUGGCCUUUAUGUCCAGGGCUACACACGUGCUACAAUGGCCGGUACAAACCGUCGCAAACCCGCGAGGGGGAGCUAAUCGGAAAAAGCCGGCCUCAGUUCGGAUUAGAGUCUGCAACUCGACUCUAUGAAGCUGGAAUCGCUAGUAAUCGCGGAUCAGAACGCCGCGGUGAAUACGUUCCCGGGCCUUGUACACACCGAUAGC
rnacentral:rRNA from 1 species